UCUACGGGAGGCAGCAGUGAGGAAUAUUGGUCAAUGGACGAGAGUCUGAACCAGCCAAGUAGCGUGAAGGAUGACUGCCCUAUGGGUUGUAAACUUCUUUUAUAUCGGAAUAAAAUGUUCCACGUGUGGGAUUUUGUAUGUACCAUAUGAAUAAGGAUCGGCUAACUCCGUGCCAGCAGCCGCGGUAAUACGGAGGAUCCGAGCGUUAUCCGGAUUUAUUGGGUUUAAAGGGAGCGUAGGUGGAUUGUUAAGUCAGUUGUGAAAGUUUGCGGCUCAACCGUAAAAUUGCAGUUGAAACUGGCAGUCUUGAGUACAGUAGAGGUGGGCGGAAUUGGGGGUGUAGCGGUGAAAUGCUUAGAUAUCACGAAGAACUCGGAUGGCGAAGGCAGCUAAUUGGACUGCAACUGACACUGAGGCUCGAAAGUGUGGGUAUCAAACAGGAUUAGAUACCCCUGUAGU
rnacentral:rRNA from 1 species